CCAACCACCCCACUCCGCCUUUUCCCCUCCUUUAAUCCCCACCGAGGCUGCGCCCUAGAAACCCUAGCGCCCUCCUCUUCCUCCCUCGCGCUGCCGCCCCCAUCUUCUCUCACUUCUCCUUCUUCUCUGUGGAGGAACCGAGGAACGAACAACACUGCCACCACCGUCCUCACCAUGGCUCCGACGCUACAGACCUCCCCUUGUCUAUCCGAGACCACCACCAGAACCGCCUUGCUCUCAUCUUUCUCCACAACCAAGGAAUCGGCCUGGGGCUCUGUAAAUCGACGGUGAAAUCGCCGAUUCCGCCUCCAACUCCGGCGAGUAAUUCGUCAAUUCCGGCCGCCCUCGUCCUCCUCCGGCCAAACCGAGCACACCUCCGGCUUCCCCAUGUUCAGGCUCACCCUCGACGCUCUCGCUCUCGUCCUCUUUCGCUCGCAGCCGUCAAGUCCUUCUCCAACCAGGGCCGUCCGCCAUGGCCGCCAUGCUCUAGCUCCGCCUCCAUCUGCUUCUUCUUGUCGGGCGACCCAGAACCAUCACCAUCCGAACCAGCAGCCCAGUGAUCCCGUGGAGAGAGAUACUUCUUUUUAUACGGAGCCUUCUUAGAGCAUGUCUAACAGGCCCCAUAUUUCGCUGCCCCGUAUAAGUCUCUUAUUUCGCCCCGUAUCGAAAAACUGCUCCAUUUCGAGCCAUUCCGUCUAGCAGACCCCGUAUUUCGCCCCGUAUUUUCAAAAAUAAAAACCCCGGGAAGUUCAUCUUCA